GAUGAACGCUGGCGGCGUGCCUAAUACAUGCAAGUCGAGCGAACGGACGAGAAGCUUGCUUCUCUGAUGUUAGCGGCGGACGGGUGAGUAACACGUGGAUAACCUACCUAUAAGACUGGGAUAACUUCGGGAAACCGGAGCUAAUACCGGAUGAUAUUUUGAACCGCAUGGUUCAAAAGUGAAAGACGGUCUUGCUGUCACUUAUAGAUGGAUCCGCGCUGCAUUAGCUAGUUGGUAAGGUAACGGCUUACCAAGGCAACGAUGCAUAGCCGACCUGAGAGGGGGAUCAGCCACACUGGAACUGAGACACGGUCCAGACUCCUACGGGAGGCAGCAGUAGGGAAUCUUCCGCAAUGGGCGAAAGCCUGACGGAGCAACGCCGCGUGAGUGAUGAAGGUCUUCGGAUCGUAAAACUCUGUUAUUAGGGAAGAACAUAUGUGUAAGUAACUGUGCACAUCUUGACGGUACCUAAUCAGAAAGCCACGGCUAACUACGUG
rnacentral:rRNA from 1 species